UACAGAGGUCUCAAGCGUUGUUCGGAAUUACUGGGCGUAAAGGGCGCGUAGGCGGCCGAUCAAGUCAGAUGUGAAAGUCCUGGGCUUAACCUGGGGACUGCAUUUGAUACUGAUUGGCUUGAAUGCAGGAGAGGAUAGCGGAAUUCCCAGUGUAGAGGUGAAAUUCGUAGAUAUUGGGAAGAACACCGGUGGCGAAGGCGGCUAUCUGGACUGUGAUUGACGCUGAGGCGCGAAAGCGUGGGGAGCAAACAGG
rnacentral:rRNA from 1 species